UCCAACCUUGCUCAUUCAAGAGCCAACACUUGCACCACCUCCUCCUGGAAGCUUAGAACCUUUCUCCAAACUAGGAUUAUUCCCUCCUAAGACCUCUCACAUCUUUUAGCUUGUGCCUUUUUUGCAGGUGCUUUGAUUCCACUUGUACUUCAACCAUCUGUGAGCUACUUCUAUUCUCUUUAGGAGACUGGCAACUCCCUAAAGGCAGAGGGGAGGAAACAGUGGAAACUCAGAGGUGCAGACAUUUGCCUAAGGAUAUACAGAAGAUAAGGAGCAGAGCUGACAUCAGAACUCAAGCUUGCAAAUGUGUAUGCGGGCCACCAUGCCACAUCUGCCACCUCUCUCACAGCACUGCUGGGGGAACAGGAGAAGCAUUGGAGGUGGCAGGCUUUGCCUUACUACACAUGGCAUAUGCAUUUUAAAUAAGGACUUUGAUCUGGAAGCAGGAGAGCAUAUUUAUUGCCUCAACUCAGCUUGAUUUGGGCUCUUCUGUCCCACAAAUGACACCAACCCUCACUGGCCUGAAGACCUUGCCUGAAAGAGAAAGAGCAGUGGCAUGAAGUCAGAAGAGGUGCGUUUACCUGCCAGCUUUGCCUCUGUCUGUGUUCUCUCCCUGAGCCUCAGGAAUCGCACUUCAGUAAUGGUUUUGCUAUGAGAAUUUGGAAGCAGCACGUGUAAAAACCCUAGCUCAGAUUGGGUACUAGAUAGACAUCAGCAGUGAAGAUUCACUGAGUUUGCCCCAGGGCAGGCAGUGGAACGGGUACAUUAAUGCAUAUCCCAAAUCCUCACAGCCACCCAGAGGUAGAUCCUGUUACUGUCAUCACAGCUACCUGAUCAGAAAACUGAAGUUCCAAACACAAGAACUGCAUUGCGAGUGGAUUUUCAACCCAGAAAUGCACUUUGAAGAGACAUGCGUUCGUAAGAGGUCGCUCCUGAGAAUGUGACAGAAAUCACUGUGCCACCUGGCUUUCUUCUUUGUGAGUCUAUAUCUAGGAGUGGACUAGACUGAUGCUCUGUGGUAUUAUUCUAACCAACAGCAGGCCAGGCAUGUUGGCUCAUGCCUGUAAUCCCAGCACUUUGGGAGGCUGAGGCGGGUGGAU
rnacentral:lncRNA from 1 species